CAGUCGCCGCGGGAAUACGAAGGGGGCUAGCGUUGUUCGGAAUUACUGGGCGUAAAGCGCACGUAGGCGGAUAUUUAAGUCAGGGGUGAAAUCCCGCAGCUCAACUGCGGAACUGCCUUUGAUACUGGGUAUCUUGAGUAUGGAAGAGGUUAGUGGAAUUGCGAGUGUAGAGGUGAAAUUCGUAGAUAUUCGCAGGAACACCAGUGGCGAAGGCGGCUAACUGGUCCAUAACUGACGCUGAGGUGCGAAAGCGUGGGGAGCAAACAGGAUUAGAUACCCGCGUAGUCCCUGUCUCUUAUAC
rnacentral:rRNA from 1 species